UCGGGCCCGCGCGACUGGCGAUACGUGGAGUUCACCACAAGGAAGCGCGGAACGCCCAUUCUUGCCGCUCGCCUGGGCCGCGCAC
rnacentral:ncRNA from 2 species